UGGGGAAUAUUGCACAAUGGAGGGAACUCUGAUGCAGCGACGCCGCGUGAACGAAGAAGGCUUUCGAGUCGUAAAGUUCUUUUAUAUGGGAAGAUAAUGACGGUACCAUAAGAAAAAGCCCCGGCUAACUACGUGCCAGCAGCCGCGGUAAUACGUAGGGGGCUAGCGUUGUUCGGAAUCACUGGGCGUAAAGGGUUCGCAGGCGGAAAUGCAAGUCAGGUGUGAAAGGCAGUAGCUUAACUACUGUAAGCAUUUGAAACUGCAUAUCUUGAGAAGAGUAGAGGUAAGUGGAAUUUUUAGUGUAGCGGUGAAAUGCGUAGAUAUUAAAAAGAAUACCGGUGGCGAAGGCGGCUUACUGGGCUCAUUCUGACGCUGAGGAACGAAAGCGUGGGUAGCAAACAGG
rnacentral:rRNA from 1 species